GGUAAUGCACAUUAAUCAAUUUGCUUAAAGGUACCCUGCCACACAAAACUGUUUUUACUUGCAUGUUUUGAAAUAUGUUAGUUCCAUAUGUGUUUAUAAAAAAUGUUUUUU